rnacentral:rRNA from 1 species
GUGGGGAAUAUUGGGCAAUGGGGGAAACCCUGACCCAGCGACGCCGCGUGAGGGAAGAAGGCCUUAGGGUCGUAAACUUCUGUUGUGUGGGAAGAAGAGCGUGACGGUACCACACGAGGAAGUCCCGGCUAACUACGUGCCAGCAGCCGCGGUAAUACGUAGGGGACGAGCGUUGUCCGGAUUUACUGGGCGUAAAGGGCGCGUAGGCGGUCAUUUAAGUCAGCUGUGAAAUGGUUUGGCUUAACCGGAUCAUGCGGUUGAAACUGGAUGACUGGAGUGCUGGAGAGGCAAGUGGAAUUCCCAGUGUAGCGGUGAAAUGCGUAGAUAUUGGGAAGAACACCGGUGGCGAAGGCGACUUGCUGGCCAGCAACUGACGCUGAGGCGCGAAAGCCAGGGGAGCAAACGGGAUUAGAUACCCGUGUAGUCC